UUAGAUAUGCUAAUAAUAAUCAAGACAGUAAAGUUUGUGACGGUGGCUAUCCGAUUGAAAGUGAGGUGGUGCGUAUGUGCGUACUUCCAAAAUCUUACAGAAAGGAGAAGCCUUUUGCCUGUUGAAACGGCGCUAGGAUUAAUGAUUGGUUUCGGUUCUUUAAUCGCAACAAUCAUUUUUGGAAUCUUGGCAGUUGUAAACAACAAUCAAAA
rfam:Enterococcus hirae ATCC 9790, complete genome.